rnacentral:rRNA from 1 species
CUGGGCGUAAAGCGCGCGCAGGCGGCUAUUUAAGUUGGAUGUGAAAGCCUACGGCUCAACCGUAGAACUGCACCCAAAACUAUUUAGCUAGAGUGUGGGAGAGGAAGAUGGAAUUAGUUGUGUAGGGGUAAAAUCCGUAGAGAUAACUAGGAAUACCAAAAGCGAAGGCAAUCUUCUGGAACACUACUGACGCUGAGGCGCGAAAGCGUGGGGAGCAAACAGGAUUAGAUACCCUGGUAGUCCACGCAGUAAACGAUGAAUGUUAGUCGUCGGGUAGCUAGUCUAUUCGGUGAUGCAGCUAACGCAUUAAACAUUCCGCCUGGGGAGUACGGUCGCAAGAUUAAAACUCAAAGGAAUAGACGGGGACCCGCACAAGUGGUGGAGCAUGUGGUUUAAUUCGAAGAUACGCGAAGAACCUUACCUAGCCUUGACAUAUUUUAGAACUCACCAGAGAUGGAGAGGUGCCUUCGGGAGCUAAUUUACAGGUGCUGCACGGCUGUCGUCAGCUCGUGUCGUGAGAUGUUGGGUUAAGUCCCGCAACGAGCGCAACCCUCGUCACUAGUUACUAACGGUUCGGCCGAGGACUCUAGUGAGACUGCCUUCGUAAGGAGGAGGAAGGUGAGGACGACGUCAAGUCAUCAUGGCCCUUACGGCUAGGGCAACACACGUGCUACAAUGGCCAGGACAGUGAGACGCAAUACCGCGAGGUGGAGC